AUUGAACGCUGGCGGCAGGCCUAACACAUGCAAGUCGAACGAGUGGCGGACGGGUGAGUAUUGUCUGGGAAACUCCCCGAUGGAGGGGGAUAACUACCGGAAACGGUAUCUAAUACCGCAUCCCCUCGGAUGUGCCCUGAUGGUAUUCGCUAGUAGGUGGGGUAAUGGCUCACCUACGCGACGAUCCCUAGCUGGUCGGAGAGGAUGACCGGCCACACGGGAGUGGAGACAAGGUCCAGACUCCUACGGGAGGAAGCAGUGGGGAAUAUGGCAGAAUGGGCGAAAGCCUGAUGCAGCCAGGCCGCGUGUAAGAAGAAGGCCUUCGGGUUGUAAAGUACUUUCAGCGAGGAGGCGUUACUCGCAGAAGAAGCACCGGCUAACUCCGUGCCAGCAGCCGCGGUAAUAC
rnacentral:rRNA from 1 species